AAAAAAGAGACAGAGCUAGGGCUUUGUUUUCAAAUCAUACUUUUCAAAAAGAUUAAGGAGUUUCAUAGCAUGUUUACUUUUCAUAAAUUUAAGGGCUUUGGAGAAAGAAAGACACUCGUUAUGAAAUGCAUAGAAUCUAGGUUUCACCUUUCCAUAUCUACAUUUGUGGCGACACUUCUUUCUCUUCAUCUACUUUUUUUCUGGGAAACAACGCAAAGGUGCCUUACCGCCACCUACUGGACUGGAGUCUGACAGAAUGUACAGCAAGUCUAAACAAAACACAUUUAUUUUUGGGAUGACUUUCCUAGGCAAUUAUUUAAACUAAAGCCAUGCAUUUUUCAUCUGUUUAAUCAAUAUUUUUGCUUUUUCAGGCAGUUUCUUUGGCUUCCCCAGAAAAAUAACAAAACGAUACAAGUUUGAAUUUUCCAAGACGCCAUUGAAAAUCCAAACAACAGGAACACAAUUCAAACACUAUCAGCUUGUAUUGUGUCAUAUAUGUUCCAGAUUUGGGAACCAGCGAAGGAGGCAGCCCCAGUGUUCUACCAUAUGGUAGACUCACCCCUGUGGAGAUGGAGCAGAUAAAUUGGAGUCAAAAGUGGCCCCAAUACAGAGCUUUACUGGACACCAUGGGCAAGGGUGCGGAGGAGAACUGGAACCUGAAAACAGCCACAGAGAAGGAACAUGAAAAUAUAUAUCUCUCAUAUAAGCUCUUUUAUAUAUUAUUAUAAGCUCUUUUAUAUGAACAAAUAUGUAUCUCUCACUUAUGCUCCUUAUAUAUUAUCAUAAAUACAUUAUUAUAUGCCCUUUCAUGGAAUCUUGUUAUAAUAUCGAAAACCUCUAUGUGCCUUUUCUGCUCAAGCUGAACAGCUGCAUAAGGGAGUGAAAGUGUUCCUUCCUUCAGUUCCUCAAUACAAGAACAACUGUCUUUGUUAGCAAAGGAUGUUGCAGGAUGUGUCCUGGUCAUCUCAAGGUUGCAUGUCCUUGGGAUGAAUUGGUCUUUCAUUAACAAGGCUAUUAGCUGACGUGCGUCUACAGGUGCAGAUGGCAGAAUUACGUGUGUGUAUGGCAAACUGCGUAUGUUACAUUCCUGUGCUUUUCAAUAAAAAUCAGCCGUUUCAGCAGAACGGCGAGAGUCUGUCCGAAGCAACUGUCAGGAGCAGAUCGCGGGACCUGCUGAAGGUUGCAAGGCUCUCCCCCUCAUGAGCGGUGAAAACAGUG